rnacentral:rRNA from 1 species
GAGGCCUAACACAUGCAAGCCGAGCGGUAGAAGAUCUUCGGAUCUUUGAGAGCGGCGCACGGGUGCGGAACACGUGUGCAACCUACCUUUAUCAGGGGGAUAGCCUUUCGAAAGGAAGAUUAAUACCCCAUAAUAUAUUGAAUGGCAUCAUUCGAUAUUGAAAACUCCGGUGGAUAGAGAUGGGCACGCGCAAGAUUAGAUAGUUGGUGAGGUAACGGCUCACCAAGUCAAUGAUCUUUAGGGGGCCUGAGAGGGUGAUCCCCCACACUGGUACUGAGACACGGACCAGACUCCUACGGGAGGCAGCAGUGAGGAAUAUUGGACAAUGGGUGAGAGCCUGAUCCAGCCAUCCCGCGUGAAGGACGACGGCCCUAUGGGUUGUAAACUUCUUUUGUAUAGGGAUAAACCUUUCCACGUGUGGAAAGCUGAAGGUACUAUACGAAUAAGCACCGGCUAACUCCGUGCCAGCAGCCGCGGUAAUACGGNAGGGUGCAAGCGUUAUCCGGAUUUAUUGGGUUUAAAGGGUCCGUAGGCGGACUCGUAAGUCAGUGGUGAAAUCUCAUAGCUUAACUAUGAAACUGCCAUUGAUACUGCGGGUCUUGAGUAAGGUAGAGGUAGCUGGAAUAAGUAGUGUAGCGGUGAAAUGCAUAGAUAUUACUUAGAACACCAAUUGCGAAGGCAGGUUACCAUGUCUUAACUGACGCUGAUGGACGAAAGCGUGGGGAGCGAACAGGAUUAGAUACCCUGGUAGUCCACGCCGUAAACGAUGCUAACUCGUUUUU